rnacentral:rRNA from 1 species
GCUAGCCUCAAGUGAUGAUUAUUGGAGGUAGAGCACUGUUUGGACGAGGGGCCCCUCUCGGGUUACCGAAUUCAGACAAACUCCGAAUGCCAAUUAAUUUAACUUGGGAGUCAGAACAUGGGUGAUAAGGUCCGUGUUCGAAAGGGAAACAGCCCAGACCACCAGCUAAGGUCCCAAAAUAUAUGUUAAGUGGAAAAGGAUGUGGCGUUGCCCAGACAACUAGGAUGUUGGCUUAGAAGCAGCCAUCAUUUAAAGAGUGCGUAAUAGCUCACUAGUCGAGUGACACUGCGCCGAAAAUGUACCGGGGCUAAACAUAUUACCGAAGCUGUGGAUUGUCCUUUGGACAAUGGUAGGAGAGCGUUCUAAGGGCGUUGAAGCAUGAUCGUAAGGACAUGUGGAGCGCUUAGAAGUGAGAAUGCCGGUGUGAGUAGCGAAAGACGGGUGAGAAUCCCGUCCACCGAUUGACUAAGGUUUCCAGAGGAAGGCUCGUCCGCUCUGGGUUAGUCGGGUCCUAAGCUGAGGCCGACAGGCGUAGGCGAUGGAUAACAGGUUGAUAUUCCUGUACCACCUAUAAUCGUUUUAAUCGAUGGGGGGACGCAGUAGGAUAGGCGAAGCGUGCGAUUGGAUUGCACGUCUAAGCAGUAAGGCUGAGUAUUAGGCAAAUCCGGUACUCGUUAAGGCUGAGCUGUGAUGGGGAGAAGACAUUGAGUCUUCGAGUCGUUGAUUUCACACUGCCGAGAAAAGCCUCUAGAUAGAAAAUAGGUGCCCGUACCGCAAACCGACACAGGUAGUCAAGAUGAGAAUUCUAAGGUGAGCGAGCGAACUCUCGUUAAGGAACUCGGCAAAAUGACCCCGUAACUUCGGGAGAAGGGGUGCUCUUUAGGGUUAACGCCCAGAAGAGCCGCAGUGAAUAGGCCCAAGCGACUGUUUAUCAAAAACACAGGUCUCUGCUAAACCGUAAGGUGAUGUAUAGGGGCUGACGCCUGCCCGGUGCUGGAAGGUUAAGAGGAGUGGUUAGCUUCUGCGAAGCUACGAAUCGAAGCCCCAGUAAACGGCGGCCGUAACUAUAACGGUCCUAAGGUAGCGAAAUUCCUUGUCGGGUAAGUUCCGACCCGCACGAAAGGCGUAACGAUUUGGGCACUGUCUCAACGAGAGACUCGGUGAAAUCAUAGUACCUGUGAAGAUGCAGGUUACCCGCGACAGGACGGAAAGACCCCGUGGAGCUUUACUGUAGCCUGAUAUUGAAAUUCGGCACAGCUUGUACAGGAUAGGUAGGAGCCUUUGAAACGUGAGCGCUAGCUUACGUGGAGGCGCUGGUGGGAUACUACCCUAGCUGUGUUGGCUUUCUAACCCGCACCACUUAUCGUGGUGGGAGACAGUGUCAGGCGGGCAGUUUGACUGGGGCGGUCGCCUCCUAAAAGGUAACGGAGGCGCUCAAAGGUUCCCUCAGAAUGGUUGGAAAUCAUUCAUAGAGUGUAAAGGCAUAAGGGAGCUUGACUGCGAGACCUACAAGUCGAGCAGGGUCGAAAGACGGACUUAGUGAUCCGGUGGUUCCGCAUGGAAGGGCCAUCGCUCAACGGAUAAAAGCUACCCCGGGGAUAACAGGCUUAUCUCCCCCAAGAGUUCACAUCGACGGGGAGGUUUGGCACCUCGAUGUCGGCUCAUCGCAUCCUGGGGCUGUAGUCGGUCCCAAGGGUUGGGCUGUUCGCCCAUUAAAGCGGUACGCGAGCUGGGUUCAGAACGUCGUGAGACAGUUCGGUCCCUAUCCGUCGUGGGCGUAGGAAAUUUGAGAGGAGCUGUCCUUAGUACGAGAGGACCGGGAUGGACAUACCUCUGGUGUACCAGUUGUCGUGCCAACGGCAUAGCUGGGUAGCUAUGUGUGGACGGGAUAAGUGCUGAAAGCAUCUAAGCAUGAAGCCCCCCUCAAGAUGAGAUUUCCCAACUUCGGUUAUAAGAUCCCUCAAAGAUGAUGAGGUUAAUAGGUUCGAGGUGGAAGCAUGGUGACAUGUGGAGCUGACGAAUACUAAUCGAUCGAAGACUUAAUCAA